rnacentral:rRNA from 1 species
GUCUACGGCCAUACCACUCUGAACGCGCCCGAUCUCGUCUGAUCUCGGAAGCUAAGCAGGGUCGGGCCUGGUUAGUACUUGGAUGGGAGAAAAUUACUAAAUAAAUAACAGUACAGUUGGUU